UCCUUAUGGGAUGUGUUGCAGAUUAAAUGA
rnacentral:piRNA from 1 species